rnacentral:rRNA from 1 species
GACGAACGCUGGCGGCGUGCCUAAUACAUGCAAGUCGAGCGAAGCGGGGACGGGUGAGUAACACGUAAGGAACCUCCGAUAAGCGGGGGACAACAUCCGGAAACGGGUGCUAAACCGCAUAAUGAUCGAUGGCCUUGGGGUGCAUUAGCUGGUUGGUGGGGUAACGGCCGACCAAGGCCAUGAUGCCUAGCAGACCUGAGAGGGUAACCGGCCACAUUGGGACUGAGACACGGCCCAAACUCCUACGGGAGGCAGCAGUAGGGAAUCUUCCGCAAUGGGCGCAAGCCUGACGGAGCAACGCCGCGUGAGUGAAGAAGGUUUUCGGAUCGUAAAGCUCUGUUGUAAGGGAAGCGGUAUCUUACCAGAAAGCCACGGCUAACUACGUGCCAGCAGCCGCGGUAAUAC